rnacentral:lncRNA from 1 species
CAGGACCCUUUGGAGUCAUCCAUUCAUGACAGGUGGACGUUAAGAUGAGGGCCCCAACUCAGACCACGAGAUGAGCAGAAGCCCUCGCCUGCAGCUUCUUGAAGAACGAAGCUUAGGGGAAACCCAGGAGAAGCACUGUGGCCUAGAAGAAUGGAUUCAGAAAGGAAGCAAGGGCCAAAUGUAAUGUUUUCCUAGGAAACUGGAAACGCAACUGAACCAAGAGAGUGAGCUAAAAGAACCUUAAAUUGUUCCCAACGGGCAACUAUGGUACAGGUAAGUGAAAAAUUGGACAGACAUUGAAGACAUCAUAUUUCUUUCAUGCUACCAAUUGAAGAAGCGGAAG